AAUUGGAGGGCAAGUCUGGUGCCAGCAGCCGCGGUAAUUCCAGCUCCAAUAGCGUAUAUUAAAGUUGUUGCAGUUAAAAAGCUCGUAGUUGAAUUUCGGGAUCAAUAUUUCGGUCAUGCCGUUGGUAUGCACUGUUAUCAUUGAUUUCUCACCUUCUAAAGAACCGUAAUGCCAUUAAUUUGGUGUUACGGGGAAUUAGGACUGUUACCUUGAAAAAAUUAGAGUGUUUAAAGCAGGCUCACGCUUGAAUACAUUAGCAUGGAAUAAUGAAAUAGGACAUCCGAUUCUAUUUUGUUGGUUUCUAGGAUCGAUGUAAUGAUUAAUAGGGACAGUCGGGGGCAUCAGUAUUCAAUUGUCAGAGGUGAAAUUCUUGGAUUUAUUGAAGACUAACUACUGCGAAAGCAUUUGCCAAGGAUGUUUUCAUUAAUCAAGAACGAAAGUUAGGGGAUCGAAGACGAUCAGAUACCGUCGUAGUCUUAACCAUAAACUAUGCCGACUAGGGAUCGGAUGAUGUUAAUUUUUUAAUGACUCAUUCGGCGCCUUACGGGAAACCAAAGUGU
rnacentral:rRNA from 1 species